GGGUCUCAUUGGAUCAGCCUAGGACACAUGCCCAUCUCAUAGCCAGUCAAUGUGACCAAGAGCAUGGAAUGUGCUGAAUACCCAGGCCUGGUCAUCUGGUCACCCCUUGAGCAAGAGGCUGGACCCGUUACACCAAGCACAUGGACUGCAGCAGACCUAGAGGUGGACAUCAGGAACACCUGGUCCAGACCGCCAUCCUUGCUCACUUGGAUCAUGGGACUCCUGACUUGUCUCCUCCCUCCAGUCCCACCCACCAUGGUCCACUGCUGCACCAGCAGCCAGGCUGUCAUGAACUGAGCGGCUCUGCUCCACCACACCCUUCCACCAUGAUGUUUCUGUCUUGGAGCAGCCAACCAUGGACUGAAUCCCCCAAACCGUGCUGUUCCCUGAGUCCCCAUCCUGGUCUCCUGGAGACAGCAUUAGACACCCAGUGCUGGCACCACCUCAGUCCCACUGAAUCUGACUUUUGGGAGGAAACAUGGGA
ensembl:lncRNA